GAGCACUCUGACAGCCAUGCCGCGUGCAGGAUGACUGCCCUAUGGGUUGUAAACUGCUUUUAUACAGGAAGAAACCGAUGUACGAGUACAUCCUUGACGGUACUGUAAGAAUAAGGACCGGCUAACUCCGUGCCAGCAGCCGCGGUAAUACGGAGGGUCCAAGCGUUAUCCGGAAUCAUUGGGUUUAAAGGGUCCGCAGGCGGUUAAUUAAGUCAGAGGUGAAAUCCCAUAGCUUAACUAUGGAACUGCCUUUGAUACUGGUUGACUUGAGUUAUACGGAAGUAGAUAGAAUAAGUAGUGUAGCGGUGAAAUGCAUAGAUAUUACUUAGAAUACCGAUUGCGAAGGCAGAAC
rnacentral:rRNA from 1 species